rnacentral:sRNA from 1 species
AAUUUGCUGAGGACAUAUAAAAUGAAUAUGCGCAUCAAUACCUCCAGCGGUAAGUAUUUGUCCUUCACCCGCAAUCACUUCAGUUCCUGCGCCAACUUCAAUAUCAAUAUUAUCUUGAAUGUCAGGAUUACCCGCUUUCCCAAUAAUGGCUAUACGGCCAUUUUUAAUACCAACAUCGGCCUUAACAAUGCCCCAAUGAUCAAGGAUAAGGGCGUUGGUAAUCACUAAAUCUACCGUUUCAUAACAAGACGCUUGGCUUUGUCCCAUACCGUCAC